rnacentral:rRNA from 1 species
CACGAACGCUGGCGGCAGGCUUAACACAUGCAAGUCGAGCGCCCCGCAAGGGGAGCGGCAGACGGGUGAGUAACGCGUGGGAAUCUACCCAUCUCUACGGAAUAACGCAUGGAAACGUGUGCUAAUACCGUAUACGUCCUUCGGGAGAAAGAUUUAUCGGAGAUGGAUGAGCCCGCGUUGGAUUAGCUAGCUGGUGGGGUAAAGGCCUACCAAGGCGACGAUCCAUAGCUGGUCUGAGAGGAUGAUCAGCCACACUGGGACUGAGACACGGCCCAGACGCCUACGGGAGGCAGCGGGGGGGAAUAGUGGACAAUGGGCGCAAGCCUGAUCCAGGCAUGCCGCGUGAGUGAUGAAGGCCCUAGGGUUGUAAAGCUCUUUCACCGGUGAAGAUAAUGACGGUAACCGGAGAAGAAGCCCCGGCUAACUUCGUGCCAGCCGCCGCCGUAAUAC